rnacentral:rRNA from 1 species
UACCAGCUCUCCGAGUGGUAGGGAUGAUUAUUGGGCUUAAAGCGUCCGUAGCCGGCUUAGCAAGUCUCCUGUUAAACUCAGCGACCUAAUCGUUGAAUCGCGGGAGAUACUACUAGGCUAGGAGGCGGGAGAGGUCGACGGUACUUCUGGGGUAGGGGUGAAAUCCUAUAAUCCCGGGAGGACCACCAGUGGCGAAGGCUGUCGACUAGAACGCGCUCGACGGUGAGGGACGAAAGCUGGGGUAGCGAACCGGAUUAGAUACCCGGGUAGUCCCAGCUGUAAACGAUGCGGGCUAGGUGUUGGGAUGGCUACGGGCCAUUUCAGUGCCGCAGGGAAGCCAUUAAGCCCGCCGCCUGGGGAGUACGGCCGCAAGGCUGAACUUAAAGGAAUUGGCGGGGGAGCACCACAAGGCGUGAAGCUUGCGGUUC